rnacentral:rRNA from 2 species
AAAUUGAAGAGUUUGAUCAUGGCUCAGAUUGAACGCUGGCGGCAGGCCUAACACAUGCAAGUCGAGCGGUAGCACAGAGAGCUUGCUCUCGGGUGACGAGCGGCGGACGGGUGAGUAAUGUCUGGGAAACUGCCUGAUGGAGGGGGAUAACUACUGGAAACGGUAGCUAAUACCGCAUAACGUCGCAAGACCAAAGUGGGGGACCUUCGGGCCUCAUGCCAUCAGAUGUGCCCAGAUGGGAUUAGCUAGUAGGUGGGGUAAUGGCUCACCUAGGCGACGAUCCCUAGCUGGUCUGAGAGGAUGACCAGCCACACUGGAACUGAGACACGGUCCAGACUCCUACGGGAGGCAGCAGUGGGGAAUAUUGCACAAUGGGCGCAAGCCUGAUGCAGCCAUGCCGCGUGUGUGAAGAAGGCCUUCGGGUUGUAAAGCACUUUCAGCGGGGAGGAAGGCGUUAAGGUUAAUAACCUUGGCGAUUGACGUUACCCGCAGAAGAAGCACCGGCUAACUCCGUGCCAGCAGCCGCGGUAAUACGGAGGGUGCAAGCGUUAAUCGGAAUUACUGGGCGUAAAGCGCACGCAGGCGGUCUGUCAAGUCGGAUGUGAAAUCCCCGGGCUCAACCUGGGAACUGCAUUCGAAACUGGCAGGCUAGAGUCUUGUAGAGGGGGGUAGAAUUCCAGGUGUAGCGGUGAAAUGCGUAGAGAUCUGGAGGAAUACCGGUGGCGAAGGCGGCCCCCUGGACAAAGACUGACGCUCAGGUGCGAAAGCGUGGGGAGCAAACAGGAUUAGAUACCCUGGUAGUCCACGCCGUAAACGAUGUCGAUUUGGAGGUUGUGCCCUUGAGGCGUGGCUUCCGGAGCUAACGCGUUAAAUCGACCGCCUGGGGAGUACGGCCGCAAGGUUAAAACUCAAAUGAAUUGACGGGGGCCCGCACAAGCGGUGGAGCAUGUGGUUUAAUUCGAUGCAACGCGAAGAACCUUACCUGGUCUUGACAUCCACAGAACUUUCCAGAGAUGGAUUGGUGCCUUCGGGAACUGUGAGACAGGUGCUGCAUGGCUGUCGUCAGCUCGUGUUGUGAAAUGUUGGGUUAAGUCCCGCAACGAGCGCAACCCUUAUCCUUUGUUGCCAGCGGUUAGGCCGGGAACUCAAAGGAGACUGCCAGUGAUAAACUGGAGGAAGGUGGGGAUGACGUCAAGUCAUCAUGGCCCUUACGACCAGGGCUACACACGUGCUACAAUGGCAUAUACAAAGAGAAGCGACCUCGCGAGAGCAAGCGGACCUCAUAAAGUAUGUCGUAGUCCGGAUUGGAGUCUGCAACUCGACUCCAUGAAGUCGGAAUCGCUAGUAAUCGUAGAUCAGAAUGCUACGGUGAAUACGUUCCCGGGCCUUGUACACACCGCCCGUCACACCAUGGGAGUGGGUUGCAAAAGAAGUAGGUAGCUUAACCUUCGGGAGGGCGCUUACCACUUUGUGAUUCAUGACUGGGGUGAAGUCGUAACAAGGUAACCGUAGGGGAACCUGCGGU